CUGGGUUGGGCUGAGCUGGG
rnacentral:miRNA from 1 species